rnacentral:rRNA from 1 species
UGCGUAGGUGGUGAGGUAAGUCGGAUGUGAAAUCUCCGGGCUCAACCCGGAAAUGGCAUUGGAAACUACCUUGCUGGAGGGUUUGAGGGGGGAUUGGAAUACUUGGUGUAGCAGUGAAAUGCGUAGAUAUCAAGUGGAACACCAGUGGCGAAGGCGAAUCCCUGGAAAAUACCUGACACUGAGGCACGAAAGCUAGGGGAGCAAACA